GGUUGUAGCUCAGUGUUAGAGUACUUACCUAGCAUGUACGAGGCCCUGGGUUCAAUCCCUAGUGCUG
rnacentral:tRNA from 1 species